GCUUUUGCCUACUUCCUCAGCAAAAUUGGGAGAAAGUAAUGCGAUGUUGUCGUCGUGGCCACAUUCGCCAUAUUGUUGUAGAAGGCGGAAAAGUUG
rnacentral:pre_miRNA from 1 species